GAGUGCUUUUACCCACAAUCCACAAGUAUGCAUUCAGUAUUUUUAGUUUAAAAGUAUUAGCUACGAUUUUGGCACUUAAUUUGAUUACACUUAGCCUACAGUCAGAACUUUUUUAUUUUUUGAGGAGAUUUUCUGACCUGUCGAGUGGUAUUAAAUUUAUUGACUUGCUAGUUAAGAACUAAAGAAGUUUGGUGAAGAAGGUGCUGUACUACUGUAUAUUACGUUCAGCUUGGCUUGAAACUUGAAAGUUUAAUGCAGUACGGUACAUUUCGGAAUAGAAACAGACUACAGGGAUCGAAUGCUGCUCUUCAAAAUGUGUUCAAGAUAUAGCUGAAUUGUGAUAUUGUAAUGGUCCCAGAACAAGAUCAUUUACUACUUCAAUAUCAAAAGUAGGCCAACGUGUAUAUACUUGAUUGGUGGUUGUUACAUGUAUAGGCCUCCAUUCGAGGGUCUGUGUUAAUAUAGACUAAAUUGGUAGAUAUUAAUAUUAUUAGACUUUUGGCAAAGGUUAACUUGAUGAUGUUACAACUACAACAAGUCAAACAGCGAAGUCAACGAUGUACAGUAUAAU